rnacentral:rRNA from 1 species
UAAAUGACUCUCGACAACGGAUAUCUUGGCUCUUGCAUCGAUGAAGAACGCAGCGAAAUGCGAUACGUGGUGUGAAUUGCAGAAUCCCGUGAACCAUUGAAUUUUUGAACGCAAGUUGCGCCCAAUGCCAUUUUAUAGGUUGAGGGCAUGCCUGCCUGGGCGUCACGC